rnacentral:rRNA from 1 species
GAUGAACGCUGGCGGCGUGCCUAAUACAUGCAAGUCGAGCGAACAGACGAGGAGCUUGCUCCUCUGACGUUAGCGGCGGACGGGUGAGUAACACGUGGAUAACCUACCUAUAAGACUGGGAUACCUUCGUGAACCCGGAGCUAAUACCGGAUAAUAUAUUUAACCCGAUGGUUCAAUAGUGACAGACGGUUUUGCUGUACAUUAUAGAUGAAUCCGCGCCGCAUUAGCUAGUUGGUAAGGUAACGGCUUACCAAGGCGACGAUGCGUAGCCGACCUGAGAGGGUGAUCGGCCACACUGGAACUGAGACACGGUCCAGACUCCUACGGGCGGCAGCAGUAGGGAAUCUUCCGCAAUGGGCGAAAGCCUGACGGAGCAAAGCCGCGUGAGUGAUGAAGGUCUUCGGAUCGUAAAACUCUGUUAUUAGGGAAGAACAAAUGUGUAAGUAACUAUGCACGUCUUGACGGUACCUAAUCAGAAAGCCACGGCUAACUACGUG